UACGUAGGGUGCGAGCGUUAUCCGGAAUUACUGGGCGUAAAGAGCUCGUAGGUGGUUUGUCGCGUUGUUCGUGAAAACUCACAACUCAAUUGUGGGCGUGCGGGCGAUACGGGCAGACUGGAGUACUGCAGGGGAGACUGGAAUUCCUGGUGUAGCGGUGGAAUGCGCAGAGUAUCAGGAGGAACACCGGUGGCGAAGGCGGGUCUCUGGGCAGUAACUGACGCUGAGGAGCGAAAGCGUGGGGAGCGAACAGG
rnacentral:rRNA from 1 species